rnacentral:lncRNA from 1 species
CUUCCAGGGGGCCCUUCCAAGCUGAAUUAUCACUAUGAUCCUGUUUUAAAUAUCAGCUAUGGCACAGUAACACCAGAUGCUGGGGAAGUUGGAGAGGAGCCACCAGCAUCCCUGGAAACCCUCACAGUGCCACUGUAUCAUAAGCACAGUACAGCUGCAGAGGAGGUACACUGUCUCUGGAUUUCUACCUGCAACAGCUGAGGAACAUUUAGCCAUAAACACAGAUGGGAGAUGA